GCUCUUCAACGAGGAAUGAAGAAGGCACAAGUCAUUAGCUUGUGCUGAUUACGUCCCUGGAUGGUGCACACCGCCCGUCGCUACUACCGAUUGAAUGGCUUAGUGAGGCCUUCGGAUUGAGAUUCGGAGUUUGGCAUUUCAACAUGAAGUUUUGAAAAGUUGGUCAAACUUGGUCAUUUAGAGGAAGUAAAAGUCGUAACAAGGUUUCCGUAGGUGAACCUGCGGAAGGAUCAUUACCAAUUUUAGCGAACCUGAUCCUUUGGGUUAUGGUUUCGCGAAAAAACUGUAUUUAAAACCUUUUCUCCUUUAUAUAUAAAAUGAAUCUUAUUAUAUAAUAAUAAAUAAAGAUCACUUUCAACAACGGAUCUCUUGGCCCUCGCAUCGAUGAAGAACGUAGCGAAGUGCGAUAAGUAAUGUGAAUUGCAUUUAUUCCGUGAAUCAUCGAAUCCCCUCCACCCGCAAAUUGCACUCUCUGGCAACCCGGGGAGUAUGCCUGUGUGGGGGUCAGUAUAAUUAAAAAUCGGUUCGUUGCAAUUAUUUUUGUGACGUUCCGGAGUUUGGGUUACCUUAACCUCUUUUGGUUAAGAGACCUAAAAUUGAUAUCUUUUGCGCAUUUUUAGACGUACAUAAAUUUUUUUUUAUUCGCCUAAUUUUUUAAUGCCAAAAUCUAUUAGUGCGACCAUGUAUAUGGGUUACGUGUCUAUAACUUUUUCAUGAUUUGACCUCAAAUCAGGUAGGAGUACCCGCUGAACUUAAGCAUAUCAUUAAGCGGAGGAAAAGAAAUAACAAUGAUUCCUUCAGUAACUGCGAGUGAAGAAGGAAGAGCUCAAACUUAAAUCUGUAUGGUUUACCUGACCGAGUGUAUUUGAAGAGGCGUUUUCUGAGUUUGAUCAUCCAAGUCCUUGGGAAUAAGGCAUCCACCGGAAGGUGGAGAAUCCCGUUCCGUUGAUCGAGAUUCUUCUUUAUGGAUACGUCAUCCAGGAGUCAAGUUUGUUAGGAAUGCCAGCUUAAAUGGGAGUAAAUU
rnacentral:rRNA from 1 species